UGGCUCAGANUGAACGCUGGCGGCAGGCCUAACACAUGCAAGUCGAGCGGCAGCACGGGUACUUGUACCUGGUGGCGAGCGGCGGACGGGUGAGUAAUGCCUAGGAAUCUGCCUGGUAGUGGGGGAUAACGCUCGGAAAGGGACGCUAAUACCGCAUACGUCCUACGGGAGAAAGCAGGGGACCUUCGGGCCUUGCGCUAUCAGAUGAGCCUAGGUCGGAUUAGCUAGUUGGUGAGGUAAUGGCUCACCAAGGCGACGAUCCGUAACUGGUCUGAGAGGAUGAUCAGUCACACUGGAACUGAGACACGGUCCAGACUCCUACGGGAGGCAGCAGUGGGGAAUAUUGGACAAUGGGCGAAAGCCUGAUCCAGCCAUGCCGCGUGUGUGAAGAAGGUCUUCGGAUUGUAAAGCACUUUAAGUUGGGAGGAAGGGCAGUUACCUAAUACGUAAUUGUUUUGACGUUACCGACAGAAUAAGCACCGGCUAACUCUGUGCCAGCAGCCGCGGUAAUACAGAGGGUGCAAGCGUUAAUCGGAAUUACUGGGCGUAAAGCGCGCGUAGGUGGUUCGUUAAGUUGGAUGUGAAAUCCCCGGGCUCAACCUGGGAACUGCAUUCAAAACUGUCAAGCUAGAGUAUGGUAGAGGGUGGUGGAAUUUCCUGUGUAGCGGUGAAAUGCGUAGAUAUAGGAAGGA
rnacentral:rRNA from 1 species